rnacentral:rRNA from 1 species
UACGGAGGGUGCGAGCGUUGUCCGGAAUCACUGGGCGUAAAGGGCGCGUAGGCGGUCCGGUAAGUCCGCUGUGAAAGUCGGGGGCUCAACCCUCGAAUGCCGGUGGAUACUGUCGGGCUAGAGUGCGGAAGAGGCGAGUGGAAUUCCUGGUGUAGCGGUGAAAUGCGUAGAGAUGCGGAGGAACACCGAUGGCGAAGGCAGCCCCCUGGGCUAGCACUGACGCUCAGGCACGAAAGCGUGGGGAGCAAACAGG